rnacentral:rRNA from 1 species
CAACUUUCAACAACGGAUCUCUUGGCUCUCGCAUCGAUCGCAGCGAAAUGCGAUAAGUAAUGUGAAUUGCAGAAUUCAGUGAAUCAUCGAAUCUUUGAACGCACCUUGCGCCCCUUGGUAUUCCGAGGGGCAUGCCUGUUUGAGUGUCAUUA